CUGCGCCCGUCCCUCAGAGAGCUCCCCCGGGGGCCGACACCGCGACGGCUCCGACGGCACCGCUGUGGGCGCGGGGGCCGGGCCAGGCAGGGGGGGUGGGGGUCUGCACGCCGCUCCCCGGCCCCGAAGCCGCCCCAUCCGCAGCUCCUUUGGGCGGCACGCUUCUCCCGGUCACUUUCCUGCCGCAGCGAGAGGCAUCGUCGGCAUCGGGGGGUGCUCUGGCUCACCCCGCACCCUUGCGGGAUGGAUUCAAGCAGCACUGUCCCUGAGCCCGGGGACGGGGUGGGGCGGCGAUGGCCUCACCUGCUCUCGGCUGCUCCCUUCGCUGCUGUGCCGGUGUCAAAGGGGAGCGCACACGGCCGCCCCCGCAGUGGAGGCCUGGGCGGGAGAUCUGCUGGAAAGCAGCUCUGGUUUAAUAGCCCCUUGGCACGGCCCGGAGACUCUGCUCUGUGUGUAAUACUUUCCUUCAUUACUCACAGUAAGUACUUCAGUAGGCUCUGAUAAUAUUGUAUUUGACAGAAAUCGUGGAAAUUAUGAUCAUGGCCAAAUGCUCCCUGCACGGGAACUUGCUAACCAAAGCAGAUCCGCUCCUCAGCUGGCCCGGGCCGCAGAGAAGUGCCGCCCGCGUCCCAGCGGAGCUGCUCCCGGCAGAAGAGAAGAGCCGCCGCCCGGCCCGACUCUCCGCCGAGGUCCGGAUUCGACCUAAAAGUGAGGAGAGGCAAAGCCCGGCGCUGGGAGAUGGGUGGCCCCGCGGCGAACAUUGCUGCGGCCCCGCGGAUGGCCGCCGCCGCCCCUGCGCACCCGCAGCCCGCACCGCGGAGGGCGGAGAGUCGCAGCUGGGCCUCGGCAUGCCCAGGAAGCAGGACGAGUUAUAGACUGGGCUGUACGCAUUACCGAUGAUCAUUUAAUGCAAGAUCUAUACGAUUUUAGAAAUGGUACCACUGAAUUCAGCGGGAAAAUCAUAGAGGGAAUGUGUUUUGUUUUGUUUUGUUUUUUCAAACAAAAAAAAUAAUUAAACUAGCCCUUUCUCCAAACCGCAA